AAUUAGUAUUAGUUAUGUUCUUGAAAAUUAAAAAUUUUGGCGGUAUUUUAGUCUUUUUAGAGGAACUUGUCCUAUAAUUGAUAUUCCACGAUAAUAAAAACUUUUUUUUUGAAUUUGUAUAUCGUUGUAGAUUUGAAUAUUUUAAAAGAAAAUUAAUAUUCGAAAUUUUAAAAUUAAAAAAAAAUCAGAUCARGANGCAGUUUAUAAAAAAGUAGAGAUGAGUUACAAUAAUAAAAUUUAUUUAUGGAUAAAUAGUUUUAAAUAAUUUUGAARGKGGAUUUAAAAGUAAUUUAUWUWUUUWUAGAAAAKGAUUUUAGCUCUAAAA
rnacentral:rRNA from 1 species